rnacentral:rRNA from 1 species
CAUACGGGUGGCAGCAGUGGGGAAUAUUGGACAAUGGGCGAAAGCCUGAUCCAGCCAUGCCGCGUGUGUGAAGAAGGCCUUCGGGUUGUAAAGCACUUUCAGUGGGGAAGAAAGCCUUGGGGCUAAUACCCUCGAGGAAGGACAUCACCCACAGAAGAAGCACCGGCUAACUCCGUGCCAGCAGCCGCGGUAAUACGGAGGGUGCGAGCGUUAAUCGGAAUUACUGGGCGUAAAGCGCGCGUAGGCGGUCUGAUAAGCCGGUUGUGAAAGCCCCGGGCUCAACCUGGGAACGGCAUCCGGAACUGUCAGGCUAGAGUGCAGGAGAGGAAGGUAGAAUUCCCGGUGUAGCGGUGAAAUGCGUAGAGAUCGGGAGGAAUACCAGUGGCGAAGCCGGCCUUCUGGACUGACACUGACGCUGAGGUGCGAAAGCGUGGGUAGCAAACAGGAUUAGAUACCCCAGUAGUC